AUCUGUUUAAAGUUCCCAAGGUGAUCGAUAGGCUUAGAUGACUGAGAUUAGGGAAGUUUUCUUCGCCCGUGCCUCGCUCGCAUUUUCUUUGCUCGCGCCUCCCUCAAGAAUCCAUUCUUCUUUCAAUGGCCAGCCAUGGUUCUUCCCGUACCCCCAUUCGUUCUUCUAGCCCAACUCUGGCGAAGGGCUCCCCCUAUUCUUGCUAUUGAAUCUUCCCUCACUCGAAUCUCUACCUCAUUUGAGGGAUUUUCUUGGCGUUCUACCCUGUCUGAAAGGGACUUAGUGAAGCUAAGGUCCAACUUCCGAAUCCCAAAUUCGGUGAAGCUUUCCAUCCCUGUUGCGAGAUGUACUGAUGAAGAAGGGUACGCUGGUGACGCGGCCCUGACGGUGAGUGCCUUGAUGCACAGAUUGUGACUCCCUUUCAUAUGGCCGUUCGUGACGUUAUGGAUUUUCUAGGGCUAGCCUCUGCCCAACUUCACUCGCAUGCUUGGCGUGUUCUGAUGUGUCCAUGUGUGGUCUUUCGCAUGGUCUUAGAGCCCCUAGGGGACACUUACCCAGACCUAACAGCAAAAGAAUUUCUUUCUUUCUAUGGAGUAAAGUCGUUGCCAGGCAACGUAUGCAAUUUUCGUGUUAGGUAGUAGCGCUUGGUGGACUUUGAGCCACGCUAUUCUAAUACCAAGUAGUUGCAAAAUAAAUUCUUUUUAUUUCUGGUAGCAAUUGGGAGUACCCCACUGACGAGAUGCAUAUUCGGGACUACUCAGUGCGUGACAAUUGGGGAAGGACGACAAGAGCUUGCUGUUGGAUUUGGCUGAUAGGGAGCAUUCCCCUGUCAACAUUGUCCUUAAUUGGGCAAAAGAAAAUGAUAGGAGUGGUUUGGCGAUGGAGAACUUGCUCUCCACCGCCAAUAUUGAUAGAUUCUUGGUGACACCCCGCCGGGCCCAUGUCCGGGGUUGUAAACUCAAGGCCGUUACACCCCCACAACCUCUAGUGAAGAGACGCACUCCCCAGCUCGGGGGGAAAAAGGAAAGCUUCAAAACCUUACGGUUCUUUGCCUAAACGCCCCCGUGAUGGCGUUGAUGUGGGCGGGGCUGCUGUACCCAUAACGAGGGCGAAGGUGGAGGUGGAUCGGGAGGUGCGCUGUGAUCCCAACCUUGUUGCUGGUGAGGAGGCUCUUGAUGCUUCCCUUGAGAGAAAACGCCCAGAGCUUCCCCGAUAAGGGUUUCCUCCCCUUUGUCGCCAGGUCUUGGCGACCUCCCUGGGUUCAUGGGCCAACAAGCCCUUGCUGACCUGGCAACAACUUUUGAUUUUGAUUUGCCUGCCAAGGGCGCUGAACCCGCCCUUUGAAUUUCCUUCUCUCCUCUCACCAACCUCAACGCCCAAUGUUGGCGACCUUUCUACAGAUAUGUACGGUGCCUUUUCUAUGGGCUUGGCUGGGGUGCCUGAAGCUAUCUUACUUGGUGGCGCCCAGACCAACGCUGAAGAUGACUGCGAAGAGCAAGGAUCUACCCUGAGUUUGCUCCCUGCGACUAUAUCUUGGGGUGAGACACCUCCUACUGACCAUGAAAGGAUCUCAAUCCCUUCUCCCUCGCCGUCCUCAUUAGGCGGUGAGGAGGAUUCUCCCACUCCCCUAAAGGGGGUGGGUCUUCCUUAGAAGAUGUCGGCAUUGAAGAAAGAGGCGUGGGUGAUGGAAGUUUGGCCGAUGCUGACCUUGGAGGGUAGGUUGAACACCCAGGGAUGUCCGCGGUUGAGUUGGCAAAUUUGACCACCCCUUCACUUCCCUUCGUGCCCCCAACAUCGGAGGGGCUCCCUGCGGUUGAGGGGGCAAGCAGGGUCUAGGAGGGUGUUGACAAGUUGGCGGCUUGGAUUGUGGGCGAGCAUGCCAAGUUCGAGAAAGAGGUUAAGGAGUGGCUAAAGUUCAGAUAUUAUGCCAAAAAGGAAAUGACCAGGCUCGUAUCUGAGAAGGUUGAGAUGAAGUGUUAACUGGAGCAGGUCGAUGGGCACAUUCGAAACUUGGAGGCUGGCCUUGAGUUCCUCCGUGUUGAAGCAUGUGAGCUCCGUGGUGAAUUGCUUCGAGCUCAAUCUCUACAAGUGUGUGAGAGCUUUGCCUUGUGGUUGGCGGAGUCUGAAAGGGCGUCUGCUCAAGCCCAGAUGUCGAGAUUGAGUGAGGCCCUGGCCGCCUCCCAGGGUUCGCAAGCAGACUCUAAGCGGCUUUCCCAAGGUGACUACCUUGGAGGAAGAAUGUAAAUGACUUGCCCUUGAAUUUUCAAACAAGAAGGCAUUGCGUGUGGAGGAGCACAGGCAGUUCAACUUCAGUUUUCCAAGGCGAAAGGUAAUUAUGAGGAAGUGCAAACCAGGUUUGCUACUUAUAAGAAGGUUCAGGAGGAUAUUGACGCUGCCCAAGGUAUGAUAGCCUAAAGUUUGCGGCAUCUAAACACUACCACUAAAGAGCAGAAACAAUAGUUGGAGGGGCUGGGGGCUCAAUUAGCCUCAGCCAAUGGGGAGCUAGUCCAUUUGCAACGGUCACCACUAGGGCUAUUAGGGACCAUGCCUUUGGGUAUGGCUAUGGGGCUGGUAUGGCUCGUUUGCGGGCCUACAUGCUGGCUAACCCUUGCACCAACCUAAAGAAGCUAGACUUGGAGAAAUUUCAGCCUAAUGAAGUAUGCUAUCAAUUCGUGGACACCUUAGGGUGCAAAGAAAUGCUCGAUGCCUUUCCCAACCCGACAUCAUUAGCCCGCCUUGGUGGAGCCUCCUCCUCCUCUUGAGAUUUCUGAUUCCUAUUUGCAUUUAAUUUCUGUUUUCACUUUGGACAAUGUUUGGCCCUCGAAUUGGCCUUUUCGCUUUUCUAUGUGCUUUUUUGUUGGUUAUGGGCAAUGUUUUGGCCCUUGAAUUGGCCUUUACCUUUGUAUAUGAUCUUUUCGUGUUGGCCCUAGAAUUGGCCUUUUACCUUUGUAUCUGAUCUUUUUAUAUUGG